rnacentral:rRNA from 1 species
GCCUACAGCCACGCCCAGUCGAAAGCACCGGAACUUGUAUGUCCGAAGUUAAGCAACUGUAGUCCUGGUUAGUGCUUGGAUGGGUGACCGCCUGGGAACCUCAAGUGCUGUAGCGU